AAAAUAUCAGUGUUACUACUACUAACAGCUGACUUUCAUUGAACAUUUUAUAGGUACCUUGCACCGUGUGCUGAAUGCUCUUCAUUCAUUCCUUGCUUCACCCAGUAGCCUGAGAGGCUAAUAUCAUUAGCUCAUGUUUGGGAAGUGAGAGAUGUUACCUCUGAUCGACCGAUUCGAUCGAUGUUGGAAAUAUCGUACACGUCCGCCACUGCUGCCGUGUCCACACCGCCUGUGCCACGCUUCUGCAGCCUCAGGUUCUCCAGGAUCUUAGUGAAUCGUGGAUCCUGGGACAAGGGACAGUACGGAGUGUCGUAAGAAGCAAAACUGAUUCACCAUAUUGGCACAUGGACUUAGUGUAGAAAGUAAGGAAGGGUUAUGGAAUGGUGACGAUUUCUCCCUCCACAAAGAAGUAACAUCUGAGCUUUUCCUGGUGGAACCCAACAGGGCUGUUGGCUACGUAACAUUACCUUGCUGAGCUUCGGGAUCCU